rnacentral:piRNA from 1 species
CUUUGUCUGACUGAAGCUGUGUGCGC